CCCUAGAGGGGAGACGGGGGGUCAGGAGCUGGCACCCCAGGCUGGCGGGAGCCUCUGAUGGCACCUCUGCCCGCCCCUGGGCUCAUGUUGGGUCAGGAGCCCCCAUGGCACUUGCCCCGCCCCUACGUUAUGACACAGUGAAGUGUUAGCUGGACCCCAGGCUCUCUGCGAUGCCUGCGGAUCUCAGCUGGUCAAACCCGCCCUGAAGACUCUGCAAACGUCAGGACCUGAAUCCUCUCAGCUCAACAGUAUAUCCACAGUUGUCCGAUCACCACCACAAUCUACUUUCAGAACACUGUCAUCAUCCUGAAAAGAAAGACUGUGCCCUAGAUCAGUUACAGCCCACCCACCCCACCAACCUAUUUUCUGUCUGUGGAUUUACCUGUUCUGGACACUUCAUAAAAAUGGAGUCAAACAAUAUGUGGUCUUUUAUGCCUAGCUUCUUUUGCUUGGCAUAUGUCUGAGUUUAUCCAUGUUGUGGCAUGCUGAUCAUCAGUACAUGAACUUUAGCUCAUGUUCAUUUCCUUUUAUAGCUGAAGUAGAGGCCCGGUGCAUGGAUUUGUGCACCAGGGAGGUCCCUUGGCCUGGCCUGCGGGGAUCUGGCUGAAACCGCAGUCUGACAUCCCCCGAGGGGUUCUGGAUUGCCAGACCUUUCCCACUCUCUCCCCUCAGAUUCAUCUAUUCCCUGUUUCCAUGCCUGUGCACUGAGCGUCUGCCCCCUGGUGGUCAGUGCACAUUAUAGCUAUGGAAUGAACAGUCCCUGUAUAGUUCAGAGAGGGGAUGAGGUAAAGGCUGGGGAGGAGGGUGAACGAAGAGUUGUUUUUUUGUUUUACACAGAACGACGAUUCCAGGAAUAUGAAAUACGGAGUUUCCUGGUCAGUCUGCAGCGCGGGGCUGGGGCAGGGCCAGGGCCGCGCUCCCAGGGAGGCAGUGUGACUGGAGGUCAGGGCUGUUGCCCAGGAGAUCAAUGGGUAUGUGUCUCAGAGCUAGAGCCUCGUGCACCACGGCACAGAGGGAGCCACGACCAGCGGGCCUUUCCAGAAGGUGGACCUGGUGCGGAGACAGGCAGAGGCCCAGCCGCUGACGGACGUGCCCUCCGCGGGGGGCGGGGGCACCUACCUUGACCACAAGCUUCUGCCCCAGCUGGUUCUUGCCAUCCUGUCCGACGGGGUCGAGGAUCACACAGUAGUUGCGGGGGCCCAACGUGGUGAUGGGCACGACCCCCAGCACCUCCUCGUAGACGUCGGGCACGUGGGCCUCCGUGUCCUGCACCGUCACCAGCCAC